AGCAGAGUCACAGCACCUAGGUGAUGGACCCAGAGAGAUGCCACAACGCCAUUUGUGGGCUGGGCCCUGGGAGAAGAAUAACAUCACCCGGUGCUGGGCCCAGCAAUAUGUUGCAAUCCCAACUGGAAAAAGCCAAUAGAUGAAAAAAGAUUCAAGGAAGACACAUUUGCUUUUUAUUCACUCAUCACUUCCCAUCACUAUGCUGACCAGAGUCAAUGUGAGCAGAGUUGAGAAUAGCAGUUUUCUGGCAGGAGAGCCACUUCUCAGCAAAAAAUGACACACUCAAAGUAUAAAUCUUUCAUGGAAGGCUCACAUAUUUUCAGCAAAUUAAGCAUAUGCAUGAAUAAAAUUCUUGUGGUGA
rnacentral:lncRNA from 10 species